AAUCUUUCAUUCAAUUAUAAACGAUCACUGCUGUAAUUCAAACUGGUGAGGCCAAAAUAAUCAAUGUUCGGCUGCCAACGAUAAUUCGAAACGCGACACCUAUGUCUAAAACAUCCGCUUUAAGUGAAAAUUUUCAACGAUUUUAUCACCAACUUUAUUGAGAUUUAUGUAUUCAUUGUGAUAACUGAACCUUACAAUUUUUAAUUAAAAAAAUCUUACAAAUUAAGUUCAAAUAGUAAUGCUCUAUUUUCUUUCACCAGACUAUUUCAUGCGAAUCCAGAAACGAAAAAUUUUUUUAUAAACUUUCGGAACCUUAGCGAUGAAGAGUUGGAUAAGAGUCACCAAUUCAGGGCUCACGUCAUCAAUUUGAUGUCGUCUUUGAACCUGGCGAUCACCAAUCUUCACCAGCCGGAGGUGACCGCCGCGCUGAUGAACAAGCUGGGAGAAUCCCAUGGAAAGAGAGGCAUACGAGGGGAACACUUACUUAGCCUCAAAUAUGUGAUGCUGGAGAUGCUCAAUAGCCUUCUAGGGCUUAACGAGUCGGCACUUGUGUCUUGGAAUAAGACAAUAGAUUUUAUAUACAAACAUAUAUUUCAAACUUUACAUUGAUUUCGCAUUAUAUUUUUUACAAUGUUAAUUUGUUCCAACAAAUAAUAAUAAUUAAG